GGUAGCGUGGCGCGUGUAUAUAAUAUUAUAAUAUAUACAAUAUACAUAUAGGGUAUAGAAGGGCGCCGUGAACGGGUGUCGUGACGGGGGUUAAGGGGAUACAGUGUGAAAUAGAGUGUGUGCAUGUGUUUGUGUAGAAAAGAGAGAGAGUAACAGGAAAAAAAGGCAAAUUUAGAUCGACGUGGUUCAAAAAACACAACCGAAAGGGUUAAACGCAGAAGAGCGCAUAUUUAAAUAUUACUAGUCAGUAGUCGACGGCGGAGGACAUACGGAACGCAAACGAAAAGCGGCACUCUAAAAUCACCGGAUAAUAUAUUCACAAAGAUUUUUGACGUUCUACGAUGGUUUUAGACUUUUAGUAUCUGCUGCUGUGCGAUUAAACAAUCAGAUUUUUUUGACUAGAUCAAUUCAUGUUUAUUAUAUUUUAUAAGAACAGACAAAGGAUAUUUAAUUCAACACGGGAAUCACUUAUUUCAAACAUCCGUUUAUACUUAUACUAUCGCCAUUCAACCGGAAACAAAGUUCAGAGUCAUAAUAAUAAUUAUUAUAAAUAUUUUACACUACAGAAUACAGACCAUUGCAGUCGAUUCAGAAUUUCGACGAAGAAUAAAAACAAAACAGAUAAAAUAAAAUUGUAUUGUUUAAAAUAAUUUAUAUUCAUAUUUUUUGAAUAUACACAAUUAUUUAUGAAUAUAACUUUCUAUCUUUUAUUUUCUUUCAGCUCAACUGUACCUCCUAUAAAAUAAUUAU